rnacentral:rRNA from 1 species
ACUCCUACGGGAGGCAGCAGUGGGGAAUAUUGCACAAUGGGGGAAACCCUGAUGCAGCCAUGCCGCGUGUGUGAAGAAGGCCUUCGGGUUGUAAAGCACUUUCAGUAGGAGGAAGGUAGUGUAGUUAACACCUGCAUUAUUUGUACGUUACCUACAGAAGAAGCACCGGCUAACUCCGUGCCAGCAGCCGCGGUAAGUACGGAGGGUGCGAGCGUUAAUACGGUAAUUACGUGGGCGUAAAAGCGCAUGCAGGCGGCCUGUUAAGUCAGAUGUGAAAGCCCGGGGCUUAACCUCGGAAUUGCAUUUGAAACUGGACGAGGCGUAGAGUCUUGUAGAGGGGUUAGGAAUUUCAGGUGUAGCGG